GGCUUCAUAGCUUGGUUGGUUAAAGCAUUGCACCACUGAGCAUUGUGAGGUCACGGGUUCAAACCCUGUUGAAGUCC
rnacentral:tRNA from 1 species